UUAGCACUAAAGCACAACUUCAUAGAGAUGCAUAUGUUCCCAGGGGGAAAAUGCAUUCAUUUUUCAUCACCAUAUAAACUUCUGGGUAUAUUUGUAUAGAUGAUGGACUAUGGAUUUCGGGAGCAAGAUGGGGAGCGUCAGAAACCUAACUCCAGGAUUUGCUGGGUUCUCCAAACUGUAGCGGGAACCUCACUCCCAGGCCGAUGCCCCUCUAGCGUCUGCAGCUCUGGGCCCCAGGGAGGGAGGAAGGAGCCACAGAGGGUUCGGACAACAGCACUGACUGAUGCCAGAGCAGGACUCCAUUCUGUUAACCUGACAAAGCGCACAGGCUGCGCCGGCAUGUUUUUCUUCCACUUUCUACACUAAUUUAUCAAACUGGAAGGAAGAGAUCAGAACAUCAAAUAAAAAUCCACAGCCACAGAGCAAUUAACUCAAGACCUAACAUGUACCUGGAUAAGGGGACUCACAAGAAUUCCGGUAUCUACAAGGUUUUAAAUGGCAAUGUUUUCUAACUUUGUAUCUUGGGUUAUUGGUCGUCAAUGUUUCCAAAAAUAAUCACUCCUCUCAGUUACAUUUUCUGAUCAAUUAUUGAAUGAGGUCUGCGUUAUACAACAUAAAUUUCACCGAGUGGGGAAAACUCAUGCUCUUGAGUGGUCAGCUAGAAAGCUGGCA
rnacentral:lncRNA from 1 species